UAUAACUUCAUUGGGCUACUCUGAUUUAAAAGCAGACUACUGGCUUUAUCAAAGCAUGGGCAGAAAUGACCUAACACCGCAAACAAAAUGCUGCUUCUAGCUUCAGCUUUUUUCCUAACACUACUGCAGUGCUCUAAUGCCCCCCAAAACCAAGCAUUACACCUGCAGACUGUAACACCAUUGAAACAGAUGCAGGAGUGGCCCUGGAUUCAGUCAACAGACAUCGCAGAGAUGGCUAUGGGUUUGGUUUAUUCCGUGUUGCUGAUGCACACAAACUACAUAGAGGAAAUUCAUCAGUUCUCUAUUUAACUUUGGAUGUGCUGCACACUGAAUGCUCUGUAUUAUCCAGAAGACACUGGGAGUCUCGUGAAUACAGUGACACCUAUUGCAUGUCCAGUGAUGCAGCCUGGGAUGAGAAGUACCAAUCCAAAACUUUAUGUAAAUAGGAGAGUGGUGAUACUACCACACAGGACAAAGGAGGAAGGCCAUGAGGAGAGGAGAGGAGAGGAGAAGAGAGGAGAAGAGAAGAGAAGAGAAGAGAAGAGAAGAGAAGAGAAGAGAAGAGAAGAGAAGGCAUUUACUCUUUGUGUUAAGAUGGGAAAAAGGAAUGGAAGAAAAGGUCCAUCCACUUUUUGAUAAAGAUUUAUGUAACCUUCCUCCUGGUUUAUUAGAGUGCAAAGAUUGUCCUGUGAAAGUUGAAGUCUUAGACAUCACCGAGCAACAUAAAAAUAUUGCUGAAAAGGCCCUGGAGAAAUUCAAUGGUGAGGGUAACACACAAACUACUUCAAAGUGGACAAAGUUGAAAAGAUUUUAGAGAUGGGGAAUGGAGAGUGGAAUAAUUCAGGCUUAUCUGCAGAUUACUAUCAAAGUACUCGCUUCACCCCACCUUCCCAUUACAAUAAUAUUCUACACCAAAGAAACAACUAGGCAAGAUCAUUAUUUCAGAAUAAAUUAUUCCCCAGAAAUGAAAUUGAAGGAAUGAAAUAAAAAUAUGGAAAAAAUAAAACAUGUGGAACUUUUGUUUUA
rnacentral:lncRNA from 1 species